rnacentral:rRNA from 1 species
AGAAUCAACGCUGGCGGCGUGCCUAACACAUGCAAGUCGAACGCGGUUACCCCGCAAGGGGUGACUGAGUGGCAAACGGGUGAGUAACGCGUGGGUGACCUACCUUCGAGUGGGGGAUAACGUUUCGAAAGGAACGCUAAUACCGCAUGACAUCCUGCUUUUAGACAGGCGGAGAUCAAAGCCGGGGAUCGCAAGACCUGGCGCUUGGAGAGGGGCCCGCGUCCGAUUAGCUAGUUGGUGGGGUAACGGCUCACCAAGGCGACGAUC